GUACAGGAUGCUCAACUGGGCUUUGGUGGUUAUGGAUUCUGUCUGUGGUGACUCCAACUGCCCACCCCCAUUUCCAUUUCCAGGAAGUGGAGACCCUCUCUGCUUUCUUCCUGUGGCCUUGAACAUCUACAGAUAACAGCAGCUCAAUAACUAGACACUGAAGGGUGGGAAAAGCUGAAGAAGGCACUCUAGAAGCUGUGUGUCCACAUCUGAGGUGUCCACAGUCUUGCUAGGUUCCACUCUGGUGAAGACAUUAAAAGUUUGACAGUCUGGUGACAUCUACAAUGUUGACUCUUCAAAAAAGUUGAUUGUUUGUUGAUCUCUUCUUGUUGCUCCUUGAAAACAUGCAUUUAGAUCUGCAUGACUCUCCAUUCAGAGCCUACUAUCUUCUGGUAUUCAUAGUUGGACAACCUUAUGGAGAACAUGCCUCACCUACCUGAUGACAGAAGGAAGAACUCAUGGAACAGAACCACUACCUGAGCAAUGGAGAGACCAGUCAGGUCCCAGCCAAUAAUCAGUUGUACAAGUCAAAUAAAUAUUCCAUCUUGGCAUUUAAAAAA